rnacentral:rRNA from 1 species
AUGAAAUACAACUUUCAACAACGGAUCUCUUGGCUCUCGCAUCGAUGAAGAACGCAGCGAAAUGCGAUAAGUAAUGUGAAUUGCAGAAUUCAGUGAAUCAUCGAAUCUUUGAACGCACCUUGCGCCCCUUGGUAUUCCGAGGGGCAUGCCUGUUUGAGU